UACGGAGGGGGCUAGCGUUGUCCGGAAUCAUUGGGCGUAAAGAGCGCGUAGGCGGUCCGGUAAGUCCGCUCUGAAAGUCCGGGGCUCAACCCCGGGAGGCGGGCGGAUACUGUCGGGCUAGAGUCCGGAAGAGGCGAGUGGAAUUCCUGGUGUAGCGGUGAAAUGCGCAGAUAUCAGGAGGAACACCAAUGGCGAAGGCAGCUCGCUGGGACGGUACUGACGCUGAGGCGCGAAAGCGUGGGGAGCAAACAGG
rnacentral:rRNA from 1 species